GUGCUAGCCGCCGCGGUAAUACAUAGGGGUCAAGCGUUGUCCGGAUUUAUUGGGCGUAAAGAGCUCGUAGGCGGUUCAACAAGUCGGUCGUAAAAGUUUAGGGCUCAACCCUAAAAUGUCGAUCGAUACUGUUGUGACUAGGAUACGGUAGAGGUGAAUGGAAUUCCGAGUGUAGCGGUGAAAUGCGUAGAUAUUCGGAGGAACACCGGUGGCGAAAGCGCUCUACUGGACCAUUACUGACACUCAGAGGCGAAAGCUAGGGUAGCAAAAGGGAUUAGAUA
rnacentral:rRNA from 1 species